rnacentral:rRNA from 1 species
UGCAGUCGAACGGCAGCACGGGAGCAAUCCUGGUGGCGAGUGGCGAACGGGUGAGUAAUACAUCGGAACGUGCCCAGUAGUGGGGGAUAGCCCGGCGAAAGCCGGAUUAAUACCGCAUACGACCUGAGGGUGAAAGCGGGGGACCGCAAGGCCUCGCGCUAUUGGAGCGGCCGAUGUCAGAUUAGGUUGUUGGUGGGGUAAAAGCCCACCAAGCCGACGAUCUGUAGCUGGUCUGAGAGGACGACCAGCCACACUGGGACUGAGACACGGCCCAGACUCCUACGGGAGGCAGCAGUGGGGAAUUUUGGACAAUGGGCGCAAGCCUGAUCCAGCCAUGCCGCGUGCGGGAAGAAGGCCUUCGGGUUGUAAACCGCUUUUGUCAGGGAAGAAAUGUCGCGGGCUAAUACCCUGCGGAGAUGACGGUACCUGAAGAAUAAGCACCGGCUAACUACGUGCCAGCAGCCGCGGUAAUACGUAGGGUGCGAGCGUUAAUCGGAAUUACUGGGCGUAAAGCGUGCGCAGGCGGUUGUGCAAGACAGAUGUGAAAUCCCCGGGCUCAACCUGGGAACUGCAUUUGUGACUGCACGGCUGGAGUGCGGCAGAGGGAAAUGGAAUUCCGCGUGUAGCAAUGAAAUGCGUAGAUAUGCGG